GAUGAACGCUCGCGGGAGGCCUAACACAUGCAAGCCGAGCGGUAUUUGUUCUUCGGAACAGAGAGAGCGGCGCACGGGUGCGGAACACGUGUGCAACCUGCCUUUAUCUGGGGGAUAGCCUUUCGAAAGGAAGAUUAAUACCCCAUAAUAUAUUGAGUGGCAUCAUUUGAUAUUGAAAACUCCGGUGGAUAGAGAUGGGCACGCGCAAGAUUAGAUAGUUGGUGAGGUAACGGCUCACCAAGUCAAUGAUCUUUAGGGGGCCUGAGAGGGUGAUCCCCCACACUGGUACUGAGACACGGACCAGACUCCUACGCGAGGCAGCAGUGAGGAAUAUUGGACAAUGGGUUAGCGCCUGAUCCAGCCAUCCCGCGUGAAGGACGACGGCCCUAUGGGUUGUAAACUUCUUUUGUAUAGGGAUAAACCUACUCUCGUGAGAGUAGCUGAAGGUACUAUACGAAUAAGCACCGGCUAACUCCGUG
rnacentral:rRNA from 1 species